rnacentral:tRNA from 1 species
GAAGGUAUAGCUUGAGUGGCAGAACACAUGCUUAGGAUGCAUGAAGUCCUGGGUUCAAUCCCCAGUACCUCCU